AUUGAACGCUGGCGGCAGGCCUAACACAUGCAAGUCGAACGGUAACAGGAAGCAGCUUGCUGCUUCGCUGACGAGUGGCGGACGGGUGAGUAAUGUCUGGGAAGCUGCCUGAUGGAGGGGGAUAACUACUGGAAACGGUAGCUAAUACCGCAUAAUGUCGCAAGACCAAAGAGGGGGACCUUCGGGCCUUUUGCCAUCGGAUGUGCCCAGAUGGGAUUAGCUUGUUGGUGGGGUAACGGCUCACCAAGGCGACGAUCCCUAGCUGGUCUGAGAGGAUGACCAGCCACACUGGGACUGAGACACGGUCCAGACUCCUACGGGAGGCAGCAGUGGGGAAUAUUGCACAAUGGGCGCAAGCCUGAUGCAGCCAUGCCGCGUGUAUGAAGAAGGCCUUCGGGUUGUAAAGUACUUUCAGCGGGGAGGAAGGGAGUAAAGUUAAUACCUUUGCUCAUUGACGUUACCCGCAGAAGAAGCACCGGCUAACUCCGUG
rnacentral:rRNA from 1 species